rnacentral:rRNA from 1 species
GACGAACGCUGGCGGCGUGCUUAAUACAUGCAAGUCGAACGGAAAGGCCCGGCUUUUGUGGGGUUUUCGAGUGGCGCACGGGUGAGUGACACGUGAGUAACCUGUCCUUGACAUUGGGGUAACAUAUGGGGAAUGGAGCGCAUAUAGCAUAUAACAUCCUUAUGCAUGCUUGUUGUUGUAAAAUGACGGCGGUUCGGGAUGGACUGGCGGUUUAGCAUCUUGUUGGUGGGGUAGUGGCUUAACACGGCUCUGACGGGUAGCCGGACUGAGAGGGUGACAGGCCACAUUGGGACUGAGAUACGGCCCAUACGGAUACGGGAGGAAGCAGUGGGGAAUAGUGCACGAAGGGCGGAAGCCGGAUGCAGCAACUCCGCGUGCGGGAUGACUGCUGGCGGGGUAUAAAGCGCUUGCGCGUGGGACGAAGAGAGAGUGACGGUAAUGGGUAAAGAAGCAACGGCUAACUACGUG